UGGGGAAUAUUGCACAAUGGGCGCAAGCCUGAUGCAGCCAUGCCGCGUGUAUGAAGGAGGCCUUCGGGUUGUAAAGUACUUUCAGUCGGGAGGAAGGUGGUAAGGUUAAUAACCUUAUCAAUUGACGUUACCGACAGAAGAAGCACCGGCUAACUCCGUGCCAGCAGCCGCGGUAAUACGGAGGGUGCAAGCGUUAAUCGGAAUUACUGGGCGUAAAGCGCACGCAGGCGGUUGAUUGAGUCAGAUGUGAAAUCCCCGGGCUUAACCCGGGAAUUGCAUCUGAUACUGGUCAGCUAGAGUCUUGUAGAGGGGGGUAGAAUUCCAUGUGUAGCGGUGAAAUGCGUAGAGAUGUGGAGGAAUACCGGUGGCGAAGGCGGCCCCCUGGACAAAGACUGACGCUCAGGUGCGAAAGCGUGGGGAGCAAACAGG
rnacentral:rRNA from 1 species